AUUGAACGCUGGCGGCAGGCCUAACACAUGCAAGUCGAACGAGUGGCGGACGGGUGAGUAAUGUCUGGGAAACUGCCUGAUGGAGGGGGAUAACUACUGGAAACGGUAUCUAAUACCGCAUACCAUCCGCUGUGCCCAGAUGGGAUUAGCUAGUAGGUGGGGUAACGGCUCACCUAGGCGACGAUCCCUAGCUGGUCUGAGAGGUUGACCAGCCACACGGGAACUGAGACACGGCCCAGACUCAUACGGGAGGCAGCAGUGGGGAAUAUUGCACAAUGGGCGAAAGCCUGAUGCAGCCAUGCCGCGUGUAUGAAGAAGGCUUUCGGGUUGUAAAGUACUGUCAGCGGGGAGGCGUUACCCACAGAAGAAGCACCGGCUAACUCCGUGCCAGCAGCCGCGGUAAUAC
rnacentral:rRNA from 1 species